rnacentral:rRNA from 1 species
CGGGAUGAGCUUCAAAUUUAAAAUCUGGCGUCUUUCAGGCGUCCGAGUUGUAAUCUAUAGAGGCGUUUUCCGCGCCGGACCGCGUCCAAGUCUCUUGGAAUAGAGUAUCAAAGAGGGUGACAAUCCCGUACUUGACGCGACAACCGGUGCUCUGUGAUACGUUCUCAAUGAGUCGAGUUGUUUGGGAAUGCAGCUCUAAAUGGGUGGUAAAUUCCAUCUAAGGCUAAAUAUUGGCGAGAGACCGAUAGCGAACAAGUACCGUGAGGGAAAGAUGAAAAGCACUUUGGAAAGAGAGUUAAACAGCACGUGAAAUUGUUAAAAGGGAAACGAUUGAAGUCAGUCGUGUGAAAGGUAUUCAGCCGUCUCUGGCGGUGUAUUUGCCUUUCACGGGUCAACAUCAGUUUGAUCCGGUAGAAAAAGGCGGGAGGAAGGUGGCACCCUCGGGUGUGUUAUAGCCUCCUGUCAUAUGUGCCGGACCAGACUGAGGAACGCAGCUUGCCGCAAGGCCGGGGUUCGCCCACGUACAAGCUUAGGAUGUUGACAUAAUGGCUUUAAACGACCCGUCUU